rnacentral:rRNA from 1 species
CCUACGGGUGGCAGCAGUGAGGAAUAUUGGUCAAUGGACGCAAGUCUGAACCAGCCAUGCCGCGUGCAGGAUGACGGCCCUAUGAGUUGUAAACUGCUUUUGUACGGGGAUAAAAUCUGACACGUGUGUCGGGUUGAAAGUACCGUACGAAUAAGGAUCGGCUAACUCCGUGCCAGCAGCCGCGGUAAUACGGAGGAUCCGAGCGUUAUCCGGAUUUAUUGGGUUUAAAGGGUGCGUAGGCGGGUUGUUAAGUUAGUGGUGAAAUGUCGGGGCUCAACCCCGAAACUGCCUUUAAUACUGGUGGACUAGAGAAGAGUAGAGGUAGGCGGAAUGCAUGGUGUAGCGGUGAAAUGCUUAGAGA